GUGAAUCAUCGAAUUUUUGAACGCACAUUGCGCUUCCUGGUAUUCCGGGAAGUAUGCCUGUUUGAGGGUCAGUAUUAACAACAAUUUGGUUUUUUUGCAAAUUGUGACGUUUCCGGAGUUUGGGCUAUCUUAACUUUUUUGGUUAAGUGGCUUAAAAUUGACCUUAUUUGCGCAUUUUUAGACGUACAUGAAUUUUUUUUUUAUUCGUUUAUUCUUAAUUCCAAAAUCUUAUUAGAUCCGAUCACAUCGUGUCGUUUCGUGUUCAU
rnacentral:misc_RNA from 1 species